CUUCAGGGACCCGAGCCACAGCGGCUCUUCCCGGUCCCGGCCGUACGUGGCCAGCAGCGCCUGCGCCUC
rnacentral:antisense_RNA from 1 species